GUACGUAGGUGACAAGCGUUAUCCGGAUUUACUGGGUGUAAAGGGCGUGUAGGCGGUUUAGCAAGUCAGAAGUGAAAUUCCCGGGCUUAACUUGGGCGCUGCUUCUGAAACUGCUUUACUUGAGUGCUGGAGAGGAUAGUGGAAUUCCUAGUGUAGCGGUAAAAUGCGCAGAUAUUGGGAGGAACACCGGUGGCGAAGGCGGCUAUCUGGACAGUAACGGACGCUGAGGCGCGAAAGCACGGGGAGCAAACAGGAUUAGAUACCCUGGUAGUCCGUGCCGUAAACGAUGAAUACUAGGUGUAGGGGGUAUCGACUCCCUCUGUGCCGCAGUUAACACAUUAAGUAUUCCACCUGGGGAGUACGGCCGCAAGGUUGAAACUCAAAUGAAUUGACGGGG
rnacentral:rRNA from 1 species